UACAGAGGGGGGCAAGCGUUAUUCGGAAUUAUUGGGCGUAAAGGGCGCGUAGGCGGGUCUUUAAGUCAGGGGUGAAAUCCUGGAGCUCAACUCCAGAACUGCCUUUGAUACUGAGGAUCUUGAGUUCGGGAGAGGUGAGUGGAACUGCGAGUGUAGAGGUGAAAUUCGUAGAUAUUCGCAAGAACACCAGUGGCGAAGGCGGCUCACUGGCCCGGUACUGACGCUGAGGUGCGAAAGCGUGGGGAGCAAACAGG
rnacentral:rRNA from 1 species